rnacentral:rRNA from 1 species
CCUACGGGUGGCAGCAGUGGGGAAUAUUGGACAAUGGGGGGAACCCUGAUCCAGCCAUGCCGCGUGUGUGAAGAAGGCCCUCGGGUUGUAAAGCACUUUCAGUGAGGAAGAACGCCUGGUGGUUAAUACCCAUCAGGAAAGACAUCACUCACAGAAGAAGCACCGGCUAACUCCGUGCCAGCAGCCGCGGUAAUACGGAGGGUGCGAGCGUUAAUCGGAAUUACUGGGCGUAAAGCGCGCGUAGGUGGCUUGAUAAGCCGGUUGUGAAAGCCCCGGGCUCAACCUGGGAACGGCAUCCGGAACUGUCAAGCUAGAGUGCAGGAGAGGAAGGUAGAAUUCCCGGUGUAGCGGUGAAAUGCGUAGAGAUCGGGAGGAAUACCAGUGGCGAAGGCGGCCUUCUGGACUGACACUGACACUGAGGUGCGAAAGCGUGGGUAGCAAACAGGAUUAAUACCCGAGUAGUC